rnacentral:misc_RNA from 1 species
AACGCACAUUGCGCCCUGUGGUAUUCCGCAGGGCAUGCCUGUUCGAGCGUCAUUUAACCACUCACGCCUAGCGUGGUAUUGGGGCACGCGGUCUCCGCGGCCCUCAAAAUGAGUGGCGGCGCCGGUGGGCUCUAAGCGUAGUACAUACUCCCGCUAUAGAGUUCCCCCGGUGGCUCGCCAGAACCCCCAAUUUUUACAGGUUGACCUCGGAUCAGGUAGGGAUACCCGCUGAACUUAA